rnacentral:rRNA from 1 species
GUAGGGAAUAUUGGGCAAUGGAUGCAAGUCUGACCCAGCCAUCCCGCGUGCCGGAAGAAGGCCCUCAGGGUUGUAAACGGCUUUUGACGGUGAAGAAUCGACAGGAUGCGUCCUGUUUUGACGGUAGCCGUUGAAUAAGCACCGGCUAACUCCGUGCCAGCAGCCGCGGUAAUACGGAGGGUGCGAGCGUUGUCCGGAUUUAUUGGGUUUAAAGGGUGCGUAGGCUGGAAGGUCAGUCAGCGGUGAAAAGCUGUCGCUUAACGAUAGGCUUGCCGGAGAUACUUCCUUUCUAGGAUAAGGAGGAGGCCACUGGAACGGAUGGUGUAGCGGUGAAAUGCAUAGAUAUCAUCCAGAACACCGAUUGCGAAGGCAGGUGGCUGUACCUUAAUCGACGCUGAUGCACGAAAGCAUGGGGAGCAAACAGGAUUAGAAACCCCAGUAGUCC